GCCGGAGUGGCGGAAUUGGCAGACGCACGGGACUUAAAAUCCCGCGGUGAGUAAUCACUGUACCGGUUCAAGUCCGGUCUCCGGCACCA
rnacentral:tRNA from 2 species